rnacentral:rRNA from 1 species
UACGUAGGGUGCAAGAGUUUUCCGGAAUUAUUGGGCGUAAAGAGCUCGUAGGCGGUUUGUCACGUCGGGUGUGAAAGACCGGGGCUCAACCCCGGGUCUGCACUAGAUACGGGCAGACUUGAGUUCGGCAGGGGAGACUGGAAUUCCUGGUAUAGCGGUGAAAUGCGCAGAUAUCAGGAGGAACACCGGUGGAGAAGGCGGGUCUCUGGGCCGAUACUGACGCUGAGGAGCGAAAGCGUGGGGAGCAAACAGG